rnacentral:tRNA from 1 species
UACUAUUUAGUAUACUUGUGUACACCUAAUUUCCAAUUAGAAAGGCUCUUUAAGAGAAUAGUAA